rnacentral:rRNA from 1 species
AAUUCGAUGAUACGCGAGGAACCUUACCUGGGACUCGAACGUAAGAUGACUGUAGGUUGAAAGCUUACAUCUCUUCGGAGCAUUUUACGAGGUGCUGCAUGGUUGUCGUCAGCUCGUGCCGUGAGGUGUCGGGUUAAGUCCCAUAACGAGCGCAACCCCUACCUUUAGUUGCCAUCAGGUAAUGCUGGGGACUCUAAAGGAACUGCCUACGCAAGUAGUGAGGAAGGCGGGGAUGACGUCAAAUCAGCACGGCCCUUACGUCCAGGGCUACACACGUGCUACAAUGGCCGAUACAGAGGGCAGCUACCUGGUGACAGGAUGCAAAUCUCCAAAGUCGGUCCCAGUUCGGAUCGGAGUCUGCAACCCGACUCCGUGAAGUUGGAUUCGCUAGUAAUCGCGCAUCAGCCAUGGCGCGGUGAAUACGUUCCCGGGCCUU